CCGCGGCCAUGCCGGCGUGGCGGCGCGCCAGCAGCUCCACCACGCGCAGCACCACCGCGCCAUAGCACCACCCAUAAUCUCCAUCCAUCUGCGCCUCCCAGCCACCCAUCAUUCCCUCCAUCCACAGCGCCGCCAGAACCCAUCCACCAUCACCUCCAGCCGGUGCCGCCGCCUCGCCUACAGCCAUCUCCCUGCUGUCCGCUGCUCUCCUCUUCUUUCCAUCCUUCUUCUCCUCACCAUGCUGCUGCUCCUCCCUCUCAAUCUCUACUGCUGCUCUUCCUUGCGCCCCCGUGCUGCUGCCUCUCCUUCCCUUCGUUGCUGCUGCUUCUCCUUUGAUCCCUUUGCUACUGCUCCUCUUCUUCGUGCCCAACCUCCGCUGCUGCUCCUCUUUCCUGCUGCAUCCCUGCUGCUGCUACUCCCUCUCACCACGCCUCUGCUGCUCUCUUUCCCCUCCUGCUGCUGCUCUCCUCACCAUGCUGCUUCUCCUUUCUGCUUCUCCUCUUGCUGCUGCUGCCCGCCCCCGACCUCCUGCUGCUAUCUCUCUCUACUUCCCCUGCUACCUUUCUUCUCUGAACCUACCUACUGCUUCUCUCUCUCUCUCUGAAAUUGUUGUAGUACUAAGAUUUGUAAGACAGUGUACUACAACCUGUUAAUUGUUCAGUUCAGAUUUUUGCUUGUUUAGUAUUAUUCUGUUGAUCUGUCCUAAUCUUGUGGCUAGUAUAAUUUCGUUUCUGUUGUUACUUGUGUAACCUGAACCGAGGUUAGUAUCCUAUUUGCAUAUGUGUGUUUUGUGUGUUCUGUAGUCCCUGUAUUAGUUACGUACCUGUGAUAUAUAAAUGUGUGUGUGCGUGUGUGUGUGUGUGUGUGUGUGUAAUUCAUCAAAAUAUAUUGUUGUGUGAUGAUGAUAUAUGUUCAGUCUAGAGACACGUUGUUUUUCUUGCUUUGUAGAUCGAUGUGAACUAGUACUCUUGUGUGUUUCUGUUGUCACUAGUUAAAUUGAUCACCUAUGUACUACUUGUUGUAGAAACUUGUUACAUUAGUCCUUGUGCUAGCUAUGCACCUGUGAUAAAUAUGUGUGUGAUGUGAAACAUUUCUGUUCUGUCCUAUAAUAUUGUUUCCUCCCUCUUUUGCUUGUCAUUAUGCUAUAUGUGUUCAUGUCCUAAUGUUUCCCUUUAUGUUAGUUUCUAAUUUCUCAUGCCUAAUAAAAAUACCAAAAGAGAGCAAGUAAGAUCUGAUCCUCCCUUUGCUAUUUUGCCUUUUCUUUGUGGAUCAUCUUCGGGAGCAACCUUGUUUAGUUUAGGUUUAUUUUCUUGCAGCCAUAAUCUCAAUUGUGUUACCUAGAUUUAGCUGAGCAUAGUCGCCGUCGCCUAGUCCCUGAGGGGAACACGACACUCGCGAUUUGGGCGAAAUAUCCCACCGCAUUUACAAACGAUCAUUUUGGCGCCGUUGCCGGGGACUAGCAUCGAGUGACAGUGUUAGGCUAUAGACUAGGUUUUUCUUGUUUUCAUUUUGUGCCAUAUAUUUGUGAUAUAUCUCUAGCCACUAACCCCUGUUCUAGGUAGUAUCUUUUUGUCUUCUUUUCCUUUUUUGCAGGUUGGAUUAUCCUCUCGGAAAUGGCAUUCUAUUCGGAUCAUCAGGCUUAUGCGAGCAACACUACAAACAACAUGAAAAGAAUUCAAGAACUGAUAAGUAAGAUUUCCCAUCGAUUAGAUGAUUUAGCUCGGCAGCGAGAAGUAGUUUUUGUGGAUAGUCCUAGCUCUUAUGAUCCUUAUUCUGGAGGCCAUCCUUAUGUUGCUCCUACUUGCCAUAUUUGUGGAUUUCAGGGCCAUUCGCUCGCUGAAUGUCAGCGUGGUUACUCUCGCCCUCCAGAUUGUUUUGGCAUGAGCUUUGCUCAAGAGCAUAGCUCAUACCAAAACAAUUACUCACAUGGGUGGCCUGAGAACCCGAAUAUGUCAUUUAGGAGCAACAACCCUGAGAUCUUAUCAUUUGCCUCUAGUAAUCCAAUGCAGGGAUUUAGGUAUGAAGAGGAGAGCCACAACUAUGCUCCACAACAGUUUUAUUCACCUCCUACUCAUAUACCGCAGCACCAGGAGAUGUGUCCAAUGGAGUUAAAUGGUCCUCCGUUUGGUCAACCAACAACUUCAGCACCUAAUGAGUCGGUAGAGCAAUCUCAUGUGCAGGGAUUUAGGUAUGAAGAGGAGAGCCACAACUAUGCUCCACAACAGUUUUAUUCACCUCCUACUCAUAUACCGCAGCACCAGGAGAUGUGUCCAAUGGAGUUAAAUGGUCCUCCAUUUGGUCAACCAACAACUUCAGCACCUAAUGAGUCGGUAGAGCAAUCUCAUGUGCAAGUGCCCACACAAGAUGAGUUCGAUGACAUAGACAAACUCACACUUUUGAGUCUCGAGUUCACUUGGAGUGCCGAGGAUGAUCCUAUUAGGAAGGUUAUACUAGAGGAAAUGAAGAGGAUCAAGAGUGGAAAAGAGCUAGUGGAAGAAGUAAGGAAGAUUGAGAAGAGCAUCAAUGCUGGCAGCACUAUUUCUUCACAACUAGAGCUGAGUAUUUCUGGGAUAUCCUUUGAUACAUGUGAGGCUCCAACACCGUCACAUCCAGCUGAGCAAGAUAGAAAAAGUCCAGAGGAAGAGAGACCUUAGAUUGAAGUUGAACUCAAGGAACAAGAUGAUCAAGAGCUACAAUUUCCAAGUGAUCAAGUUGAAGACUCAUCAUCUACUACUCCUAAAGAAGUACAAGAAGCUGUUGUAGAUGAAGAUGAAGAACCUGAGAUUCAUUGGCCUAUUGUCAUACAUGAACCUGAUAUGUCAGGUUUACCCAAUCCUCUUGAUGACAUGCUGCCUUGUGAUUUCUUUGCUUCUAACUUGCAUUGCAUGAUGCCAUCACUUAAGGUAGAUUUGAAAAACUAUUUGCUUGGACAUGAUCAUACACACCCUGUUAGUGGCAUUGCUCAUAUCUCUGUUCAUGAUACUUAUGUUCCUGAUGCUAUACACAUGCUUAAUGAAACGUGUGAUUCUAAUACUAGCAUUGAGCUUACUGAAUUGUACCAUCCUAAACAUGUGCUUUAUAGCUAUGCUUAUGUAAUUGGGUACUCUAUUGAUGAUUUAGAGGGCAUUACCCUUGUCACUUGUAUCGCCUCCUUGGUUGAGUGCUCUUUCAGCUUGUUGCUUGUGCACGAUCCACUACAUGCUGGCCAAGUUCGAGAUGACAUUCCUUGGGACCCCGGUGGACCCAUGGCAUGGGGAUGAGGAGAAGCAAGGAGCACACAUGAAGAGAGAAGCUGUGCCGGCAUGAGGAUAGGGAAGCAAAAGGAGAGGAGUCACAAUGCAAGAGGAUGUGAGAUGAUCGAGCGAGUGCUACAUCAAAGCCCGGUGAGCUGUUUCAUGACCCAUUCCGAGUAUAUCAUCCAUUGAUGCUUGCUGAAUUAAAUUGCUAUUUGGGUUGCUUGUGCCAUUUCUUAAAUGUUGUCCCACAGAUUUUUCACCUUUGACAUAUGGUGCUUGAUGAGAAUAUGUGAACUGAUUGUUGAAUGCCUUGUAAACUAGUGAUCUACAUCCUGUUUGCUUUGCUGAAAGUAGUGAAAGCUAUUAGUUUUGAGUGCUCAAAUCCCUAGUGCACUAGUAAACUUAAUCAUUUUCUGCUUUUACCUUGAUACACCUAAAUCAUUAAGUGUCGGAUGCUGAGUUUGUGCCUAAUGUGUUCCCAUUGAGAGCAAUCACUUACCAUUAUGGAUUAGCAUGCUAUGUUCUCUGGAUCAGUAGCAUGUGAAGUAGACAUGGAUGAGUGAUGAUUCUUGAUUUUGUUCAUUUAAAAAAUGAAAAAUAUAUAUCUUAUAAUGAAUAAAUAAGUCUGACUACCUACAGUAGCAUGUCAUGUUCCCUAGAUCGGUGGCAUGUGGAAUCGGGUUAGCUUGGGCAGUAAUUAAUAAUAAAAAUGUAAUUGUCGAACCAGGUGUAUACCAUAUUCUUGGGAUCGGUGGUAUGUUCCUUUGGGGAGACAAACAAAAAAAACUAAUAAUUGGUCGAGCCGGGUGUAUACCAUGUUCUCGGGAUCGGUGGUAUGUUCCUUUGGUGAGAUCAAUAAAAUAUUAUCAUUACUUUCUUCAAAUUCAAUAAGUGCUUUCAACUGCAAUGUUGUGUUCCUGGUAAUAAGUGAUCUGAUCUCAAGUUUAAGUUUUUUUUGUUUUUGGGAUCAGGCUCUCUUUAGGAACCUUUUGGCACAAUCAGCAUUUGAACUUACUAAUCUUCUUUUAUCAUUGUAAAAGUUUAAAAUGGCCAAGUCUACUAGUAUCCUACUGCUUUGUAGCACUCUAACCAUUAAUUUUCACUAACUAAGUCUGAAGCAUGCACUGUUUAGAGAUCUACUUCACUGGGACAUUCUCCAGUCAGCUCACUGUUCAUUAUCUAGCUCUUGUCAUAUUCCUUUACUUGAGGACAAGCAAAAGUUUAAGUGUGGGGGAACUUGAUAAGCACAUUUCUUAUAUAGAAUUUUGGAACACAAAUUCAUCAUUUAUUGAGAUAUAUUGUCGGUGACGGUUGCAGGGGCGCGGGGUUGCGAGAAGAGCAGGGCUAGUAGACAGCACAAAGAUCGUUUAUCCAGGUUCGGGCCGCGAGGAUGCGUAAAACCCUAGUCCUGGUUUGGUGGGUGUAUUUCAGAGAGUUCUUGAGCUCUCGGACUAGAUGUGGUCAGUGCAUGGUUCAAAAGAGCCGAAUCCUUCUCCAGUAUGUCAUGGGCCUCCUUUUAUAGUCGGAAGGGGCUGCCACAGUGGCACACAGGAGGUGGAAAGGCGUACAGUGCCCUGAGCUUAUCGCUCGUAUUACAGGUGAUAGAGGCGAGGGUGUCCCGAUCUUUCGAUGAGAUGAUAACUAUCGAUUAGGUGGAGUCGACUUUGACGAUCCGACUACAAACGUGCACGACGUUGCGCCUUAGCAAUCGCUAAACCAACUUCGAGAGGUUAUUGACCUCGCCGGAGCACGAUCAACCUGACCACGAAGGUCUAUUCCUGCAUGCAAUCAAAGAACAAGCAAGAAUAUGAUAAUGCAAUCUGAAUAUUGCGAAUAUAGAUGAAGUAUUGAUAAAGAUAGGGAUCCAUAAGCGGUCUUGGUCUGGUCGUUGGACACAAACGAAGUACACGAAGUUGCAAUGGCUAACUUUUAACUAAACAAAUCCCAAGCAAAAAGCUACUAGAUGGAUCUACUUAUAUAGGAGCAAGGGGUGGAGGCCAAAAAGGUGGGAGGACGUCCCAAGGCAGCCUAAAACCAACCCUAGGUCGUACAAGGCUCAUGGGCCCAAGUGGAGGUGAUGCAACACCUUUGGACUUGUUUUUGACUCGGAUUUUGCUGCAGCGUCAGAUUGUUUCGUCCAUAUCUCAAUGCUCCGGACGAAUUUAAAGGUGAAUCCAAUUGGGUUGGAAAGAGGACGAAAUUUACUUUCCAACAAAAAAAGAAUCACCCAAUUCGGAGUCCGUAUGAAAAAGUUGUUGGCGUUUUGAGUCAGGUAUGUCUGUGCAGUCCGAAUCUGAAUCCAGAACGUGAGAGACUUGGACUCUAUCUUCUCUUGGCCCAAAAGUGACGUGAGAGGACUUUUUGAAUAGAACCUAAACUUCUCCUUUUCCCCUAUCUUCAUAUGUGGAUUGUAUAAAUGUCCCAUACACCUGCAAUUAGACAAAACACAAAAGUGUGUGAAGUAUUUUUGUUCUGGAUAACAUAAAUAGAUUAUUGAAUAAUUUGCACUAGAAAUCACCUGACAAAUAUGCAUGUAUGCAAUAUUUUUGGUCGUAUCCAAGGUAGUCAUGUCCUCAUCAUCCUCCCCUUCUUGAAAAUAAAGCCGUCCUCGGCGUUGCUUAAUCUGAAAUGUGGCUAACAAAAGAGACAAGGUGUACAUGUUGUAUAUGUAUAUGUCAUCCAUUUUUACUUCCCGUGGAUUUUGCACAUAUGACACAUGUAUACAUGAGUAACUUUCAUAGUUAAUAAAAUAUAAAGCCAAAAUAUUAUUACAAGUAGAAGGCAUGAAAGUAUUGCAACUCAGUUUGCACAUAUAAGUGAAGCUCUUAUUCAUAUGAAAAGAUUGACAAUAUUCAUCAUUAAACCAUCCCAACAUUGGUGAAUAAACCUUACUUGCAUUAAAUUUACAUGCUACAACAUGCUUAAAUAAGCAAACAUGCAAUAAGUCAUUUGACACAGAAUCAUCACCAAGAUUAGAGGUCAUAUCAAAAUGAUUAAACAUUGGUUCUUUUGCAUCAACAAUUAAUUCAUUGGGUCCACUCAAAAUUGUUGGUAUUUCAGAUGUUUGAUCACAUGACGCAUUCAUGACAGUAACAUGAUUCUCUAGAUUAGGUGAUGCGCUCAAAUCAAUAGGUAACUCAACACAUGAUGUAUUCAAGUUAACUAGGCAUGCAUCAUUCUCAUGUGAAGUUAUAUCAUCAAUACCUUUACAGUUACCUUGUCGUAAAGAUGUAGCUGAUGUAGGUACGGAUGAUGGCAAUGUACCAUACUCUUGAGAUGAUGUCGCGCUCACAAUCUGAGGUGUGGCUGCUCUAGUAGGUGCGACGGUGGAGGAGCCAAGCGGUGGUGGUGAGCAUGAACUAGAAUAGUAGUUGUUGUAGUCAUCCAAUGCAUCCUCCUGUAACUGUCUCUCAAAGGUACAAGCACGAACAUACAUACCAGAUACUGAAAUCGUGCCUGAAUAUCAUGGUUCAAACCACCAAAAAAUCUAUUCAUUGUAUCAUCCUCAGAUUCUUCUAUGUCACAAUGAUGCAUAUAAGAUUUGAACUCUUGGUAGUAAGCAUGAACAGUGUCGUUGCCUUGUUUAAAUUGUUCAAAUUUGCAAAGCAAUUCACGACGAUAGUAAGGAGGGAAAAAUUAUUGUCUCAUUACCUCUUUCAAAUCUUUCCAAGUUGUGAGUUGGUUAUCAAUGUUUUUCUUACAAUGCACACUCCACCAAACAGAAGCAAAACCAGUAAAUGCUCUAGUGGCAGCUCGUACUCGCUCAAGUUCAGAAAAGUCAUGGUGACUAAAAACUUGUUCUACUUCAACCUCCCAAGCUAGAUAAAUAGCAGGAUUAAAUCUACCCUCAAAUGACGGUAAAGAGAUAACCUGACCAUGUACUUGUGUGUGUUGUCCCAACUCUUGUGAUGGUGAUGAUGUGUCCGUCGUCCAAGAACUUCUAUCUCCGGAACCUGUCAUGAUUAGUAGAAACAAGAAACAAAAUUCGAGAAUAAUGUUCUGAUGAACUACUAGGAUGUGGUUGCAAAGUGCUCACAGUAAAGAAAAUAUCAAUAUCUUGCUCGUUCUUCGAUUGCUUGCAGGAAUAUACCUUCGUGGUCAGGUUGAUCGUGCUCCGGCGAGGUCAAUAACCUCUCGAAGUUGGUUUAGCGAUUGCUAAGGUGCAACGUCGUGCACGUUUGUAGUCGGAUCGUCAAAGUCGACUCCACCAAAUCGAUAGUUAUCAUCUAAUCGAAAGAUCAGGGCACCCUCGCCUCUAUCAAGUGGUAUCAGUUUUCAGGUUGCUCGGUGAGAAUUUCCAGUUUCCCCUAGAUUAGAUUUAUUUUCUUAUCUAUUGUCCAAGAAAAAGCCACAAAAAAGUUAGAUCUAUUCAUCCUUUUGUCCAAGCCAGUCUGAGCCUUUGCAAUUUUCUUUUCAUUGUUUGCAUUAUUGAAUUAUCGGUUGCAUCGUCGUGUCGAAUUGCUGGUCUUAGGGUCUAGUUCGUUUAGAGUUUCGAGUUCUGUUCACAUUAGUCACGUCGCCGCUGCAUCGUUAUCCCUUCCGCUGUCCACCACACCAUCCAUCAAUUUCCACCACGUGCUACCCAUAGUUCAUUGUCACAAUCAUAGUUGAUGUCGUUCACAUCUUCGCUUGAUCCAAUCUGCAUCUUAUCUAGUUUGUCUUAGAGGGAGAGAAAAAAAGACAGAGAAAAAAAGAGAGAAAAAAAGAAAAAGAAGUCGGAGAAAAAAAAGAGAGAAAGAAAAAGAAAAAAAAAGUGUGAGGAAAAAAAGAGAGAAAAAACAACAAAAUUGUGUGAAGUAUCCAAUAUGCAUGCAUGCAAUAUUUUUGGUAGUAUCCAAGGUAGUCAUGACCUCAUCAACAGGACAAGACACAUUUAAUGCGUAGCUUAGGUGUCCCCUUGCUUUAUUGGGGACGGGGGCGAGGCUCGUCCCGUCCGUCGCCGCUCCUCCAUGCUUUGACACGUGCCCUGGCCAGUGAGGCACAUGGUGCCAUGUAGGCAGGCAGGCAGCUGAGGUGGCGCAGUGCCGGAGCCUUCACGAAGAUCUGCAUGCCGCCACGCAGGCGCUCGAUGAGUUGGCCUGGGAGCUGCAUGUUGUCACGCAGGUGCCCGCCCAGCUGGUUGGGCUGGCAGCUGCAUGUGAACGGCGGUGGAAGCUUGGUUGGCGUGGGCCUGGCGGUGGCCCUGCUGGCGUCCGUGGUGAGGGCCUUGCCGUGUGGCCCGGCAAGGGUCUUGCCGUGGCGCGCUAUCGUCCCCAGCGAGGGCCUUGCCGAGGGUCUGGUGGCCUUCCUCGGCAAGGAUCUUGCCGAGGAUCGUCGUCUUCUAAUUCUCAUCUGAUCUUGAAUAUGUCUUCACAAAGAUCUGCAUGCCACUACGGAGGUGCCUCCCGAGCCCUGGCCCAACGUGAUGUUGGAGAUCGUGGGCUCAAGGGUGGCCCGCUCUGUUGGUGCAGGGCGAGCUGUUCCGGCAAGGAUCUUGUCGGGGCUGCUGAGGCUGCCCCGGCAAGGGUCUUGCCGGGGGAACCUGCUUCAUCCCUCUGCUCUUUGUGGUCUUGGCCUUGACGUUGCUCUUAUUAUCUUGGGCUUUGGUCUUACCUUGGCUCACCUCCCCUGUUCUGCUUGGCGUGACCGUAGGCGCGGCUCCGACUGCCCGUGCACAGAUAUAGGGGUACAAAAACGCACCCCUUUUUUUGGACACCGACAGAAGCCCCCGGGCCUGGGCCACACAUAAGCGCGAUACGUUGUUGGGCCAGGCCCAAAACGUGCGCGGGCAGGCGGGGCGGUUUUUACCGCGGUAAAACUUUUCGCGCGUUGCGCUUCCAACGGCCCGCGCGGCGUGGAGGGGUGUGCGUGACGUGGGCGCCAUGCGUGGGACGGUUUCCACACGCAUGCGUCACAUCGCAGUAAAAAGGCGGCUCGCGCCUUCCCCGUAAAAAGAGGGAGGCGUGGAGGCGUGCUACCUCUUGAGCACUGCGUUGCUUUUCCCUUGAAGAGGAAAGGGUGAUGCAGCAAAGUAGCGUAAGUAUUUCCCUCAGUUUUUGAGAACUAAGGUAUCAAUACAGUAGGAGGCUACGCGCGAGUCCCUCGCACCUGCACAAUACAAAUAAAUCCUCGCAACCAACGCGACAAGGGGUUGUCAAUCCCUUCACGGUCACUUACGAGAGUGAGAUCUGAUAGAUAUGAUAGGGUAAUAUUUUUGGUAUUUUUAUGAUAAAGAUGCAAAGUAAAAUAAAAGCAAAGGCAAUAACAAAGUGUUGGAAGAUUAAUAUGAUGAAGAUAGACCCGGGGGUCAUAGGUUUCACUAGUGGCUUCUUUCAAAAGCAUAAGUAUUUUACGGUGGGUGAACGAAUUACUGUUGAGCAAUUGACAGAAUUGAGCAUAGUUAUGAGAAUAUCUAAGUAUGAUCAUGUAUAUAGGCAUCACGUCCGAGACAAGUAGACCGACUCCUGCCUGCAUCUACUACUAUUACUCCACUCAUCGACCGCUAUCCAGCAUGCAUCUAGAGUAUUAAGUUCAUAAGAACAGAGUAACGCCUUAAGCAAGAUGACAUGAUGUAGAGGGAUAAAUUCAUGCAAUAUGAUAAAAACCCCAUCUUGUUAUCCUCGAUGGCAACAAUACAAUACGUGCCUUGCUGCCCCUACUGUCACUGGGAAAGGACACCGCAAGAUUGAACCCAAAGCUAAGCACUUCUCCCAUUGCAAGAAAGAUCAAUCUAGUAGGCCAAACCAAACUGAUAAUUCGAAGAGACUUGCAAAGAUAACCAAUCAUACAUAAAAGAAUUCAGAGAAGAUUCAAAUAUUGUUCAUAGAUAAUCUUGAUCAUAAACCCACAAUUCAUCGGUCUCAACAAACACACCACAAAAAGAAGAUUACAUCGAAUAGAUCUCCACGAGAGAGGGGGAGAACAUUGUAUUGAGAUCCAAAAAGAGAAAAGAAGCCAUCUAGCUACUAACUAUGGACCCAAAGGUCUGAGGUAAACUAUUCACACUUCAUCGGAGAGGCUAUGGUGUUGAUGUAGAAGCCCUCCGUGAUGGAUGCCCCCUCCGGCGGAGCUCCGGAACAGGCCCCAAGAUGGGAUCUCAUGGGUACAGAAGGUUGCGGUGGUGGAAUUAGGUUUUUGGCUCCGUAUCUGAUCGUUUGGGGUACGUAGGUAUAUAUAGGAGGAAGAAGUACGUCGGUGGAGCAACGUGGGGCCCACGAAGGUGGAGGGCGCGCCCUGGGGUGGGGGGGUGGGCGCGCCCCCUACCUCGUGGCCUCCUGGAAGCUUCUCUGACGUAAGGUCCAAGUCUCCUGGAUCAUGUUCGUUCCAAAAAUCACGCUCCCGAAGGUUUCAUUCCGUUUGGACUCCGUUUGAUAUUUUUUUCCCGCGAAACUAUGAAAUAGGCAAAAAAAAAUAGCAAUUCUGGGCUGGGCCUCCGGUUAAUAGGUUAGUCCCAAAAAUAAUAUAAAAAUGGAUGAUAAAGCCCAAUAUUGUCCAAAACAGUAGAUAAUAUAGCAUGGAGCAAUCAAAAAUUAUAGAUACGUUGGAGACGUAUCAAGGCGCGACUCAUUUAUUGAACGGGGCCAGGGCGCGGUCUUCAAGGCAUCCACUCCCCACGAUCACGGGGUGGGGAGAGGUUGCUUCGCCCGUCCCCUCGGUUCUGCAUGUAUGCCACGCGUCCUCCAUGCACCUAGGGUGGCAAGCGGUGGAGGCGGGAAACCGGGCCGUCGCUGGUUGGGGCAGCGGGUCGGUCCUGAUUCCCCGUGGCUUUGGUGGCUGGAUUGGCCGAGUGAGGCGGCCGAGCCCCGUCCCCGCCUCCUUAUAAAGAGGGGGAAGGGGGGAUGGCAUCCCACACUCUUCCGUCAUCUAUCUCCACUCGCUUCUACUUCUUCCUUUCACUCGCCAUGGAGAAAGGGAAUCAUGGUCCCUCAACGGUGGCGGCGAGGGUCGCCGCCCGACAGCACGUCCCUCCUCCUCCUGAGCCCGCGGUGGUGGAACCGGCCGCGUGGGGAAGGGGGAGGGGGCGAGGUCGUCGGCGAGGCCGGGGCAGAGGUCGUAGUGCUCGGGGAAGAGGAGGACGGGGCGGCGCACCGGCUUCACCCCCGCCAAUGAUGCCUUUUCCAAUGGAAGGCCAUGUUGGAGACCAGCCCCGUGAAUUUUUCAUCAGGCUGCGCUGGCCUUCGCGUCGCCGUCUUCGUCUUCCCGCCCCGUUCGCUCGGGAGAUGGAGUGUGACCCGCCCCAGUCCCUCAGAUUGCACAUGAGGGGUUGUGGGAAUGGGGGCACGCGGGUCGACGUCGACUUCCCGGCUCCCCGGGUCAUGUACCUCCGUCAUGGGUGGAAGACGUUCGCUCGCAUCCACAGCCUAACGGCGGGGCUCGUCCUCUACUUCAAAUUAAUGGAGGACGACCUGCUCUCCGUCAAGGUCUUCGGCGACUUCGGGACUCGCCUGAAGUGCUGCGUGGAGAGCUCCUCCGAUGGAGAUUCCGACGAUGGAAGCUCUACCUCGAGCGAAAGUGAUGAGGAGGACAACGGGGCAGACGGCGGGGACGAGUCCGACUAGGCGUCGGACGCCUGGUGCCUGGGCGGGUGCGGCAGCAGCAACAUCUGCACUUGGCCGCUCCUCCGGCAGAGUUUUGCCGGGGGUGGGGCCAGCUCCUUGAACUUCUCGGGGCCGUCUCCUUGGGCGGCUGGCGUCGAGAGGCUGCGGAAGAGGAAGAGGGCGGGCGGCAACGCCGUUAACUCGGAGUACGCGGGCACCGACGCCUUCGUGGCGUACUGCCGGUCCUGCCGCCUCGUCUUCCAGCUCCUUUCCCGGCACCGUCAUCACCGGCCCGCCCCUGGGCGGUCACCAAGGUGUUCUCUUGGUGCUUUCUGCCGCUCGUAGCUCGCCUAGGCGCCCCUUUUGCCCUUUCGCCUCAUUGACCUGCCUCCUGAGGAGAGGGACAAGAAAGGGAUUACGGGCAUCUUAUCCUUCUUCUUUAGUUUGUAAGCCUGCGGGCCUUUGUUAAAUUUAGAACUUGUAAUCCCCUUGCUCAUGUUUUUCAUUUCGUACGAACUGUACCUGUAUGGGAUGUUUUUAAUGAAAAAGGGAUGCUUGCCGGGUUUUUCGUUCGUGGGUAAACCCCGCGACAAGGAGCGAAUCCUUGUUAUUGUUUAAGAUAAACGUUUUUCGCCCGGCAACAGGCCUUGCCGCCCCCCACUCCACUCGACCGUUCUCGCGCUCUUGGCGGAGGCAGGGAUGAAGUGGGCUUUAGGCUCCUCGUUCUACCUCCUUGCCGCCGCGGCUACAACCAAAUCCGGACCUAGGAAAUAAUCCUUAGGUAUAGGAAAAAGGGGAGCACGACAGCCUAGAGAUAAAAACGAGGUUUCACAUGCCCCAGUCCUGUUCUGAAAUGCAUGACAGAGGAUAAAAGACUUAUCUGGAUCUGCAGCCCCCAGCAAUCUCAUCUUGCCGCGGUUGGAACCUUGUGCUUGCAGCCCCCGGCAACUCUGGUUUACCGGGGUCGGGACGCCGGUCCGUUUUCUUUCUUCCAAGUAGCUCGACAGAAGUGCUCAUGUGCCCUGCGAACCAAAGGAGGACGGAAGAGAAACAGAUAGACGCGCAUUCGACCUCUAAGCUAGGGGUUAGUCGCUGCUGAGCACUAUCAACCCUAACCAAGGAAGAGACUCGACCUAGCAUGCAUGCUAUGACUGAGGGCGCCAGCGCUUCAUUUAUUUAUGCUCAGGGUCUGUGCCUGGCUUUGUACGAAGGGUUACAUGCCUUGCCGGCAAAGCUUGUACAAAAGGUGGCUUGCCGGGAGGCCCAGCAAGCCGCGCCUUAUGGGUAAAACUUGCGAAGAUGCUCGAUGUUCCAGGAGUUCCUCACUGGGAUGGCAUCUUCGGUCUCCAGGUGGACUGCGCCGGGCCUGGUGACUCGUAUUACCCGAUAAGGGCCUUCCCACUUCGGCGUCAACUUGUUGGCAUUCUCGGCCGACUGAACGCGCCGAAAAACAAGGUCGCCUUCCUCAAAGCUUCGGGCAUGAACCUUGCGGCUAUGGUAGCAGCGCAAGGCUUGCUGGUAGCGCGCUGCUCUCACAGCCGCCCGAAGACGAUCUUCCUCAAGGAGCGUCGCAUCAUCUUGGCGCAACUGCUCUUGCUCAAGCUCAUCAUAAGCGAGCACUCGAGGUGACCCGUAUAUGAGUUCCGUGGGGAGAACUACUUCUGCCCCGUAGACCAGGGCAAAAGUUGUCUGGCUGGUGGCUCGAUUUGGCGUCGUCCUGAUCGACCAAAUAACCGCCGGCAAUUCAUCAAUCCAGCGCCUUCCGCUCUUGCGCAGCUUGUCAAAAGUCUUUGUCCUUAGGCCUCGCAACACUUCAGCAUUCGCCCUCUCCGCUUGGCCGUUGCUCCGUGGGUGUGCCACGGAAGCAAAACAGACCUUGCUGCCGAGGUCUUGAAUGUAUUGCAUGAAGGUGUGGCUCGUGAACUGCGUGCCGUUGUCGGUGAUGACUCUAUUUGGCACACCAAAACGGCAGACCAGUCCUUUAAAAACUUGACAGCUGACUGAGCAGUCACCUUUCUCACUGCUUCCACCUCCGGCCACUUUGUGAACUUGUCGAUUGUAACGUACAAGUAUUCAAAGCCCCCGACAGCGCGGGGGAAAGGGCCCAGUAUGUCGAGCCCCCAGACCGAGAAUGGCCAGGAGAGAGGGAUUGUUUGAAGGGCUUGGGCUGGUUGAUGAAGCUUCUUUGAAUGAAACUGACACGCUUCUGUAACGCCCCGGAUCCGAUGCGCCAGGUGUCACACAGUUAUUCGCUGUCGUUGCCAUGUCAUUUGCUUGCGUGUUGCAUUUUGCCAUGUCAUCAUAUGCAUUUCAUAUCAUGUCAUCAUGUGCUUCGCAUUUGCAUACGUGUUCGUCUCAUGCAUCCGAGCAUUUUCCCCGUUGUCCGUUUUGCAAUCCGGCACUCCUAUGUCACCCGGCGCCCCCUUUUGUCUUCUUCUCGUGUGCGGAUGUUAAACAUUUUCGGAAUGGACCGAGUCUUUUCAAGUGGCCUUGGUAUACCACCGGUAGACCACCGGUCAAGUUUCGUUCCAUUUGGAGGUCGUUUGGUACUCCAACGGUUAACCGGGUAACCGCAAAGUCCGUUUUGGUAUUGCAGCAAACCCCCCUUUCAAACAGCCACAAAACCCCUCUAAGUCCCUGUCAUGCUCUCGGUCGUUCGAUCACGAUCGCGUGGGCGAAAACCGCACCCCGUUUGGACUCUCCUAACUCCCUCUACCUAUAUAAACACCCCCUCCCCGAAAUUUCGGAUCAAUUCCACCCUAACCCUAAUAUUUUUCCCUCCGCGCCGCCGGACGUUUCGUCCUCCGCAGCCGGACAUGUCCAUUUCGCCGCCGCCGCCGCCCGCGGCCAAUCGGCACGCGCCACCUGUCCNNNNNNNNNNNNNNNNNNNNNNNNNNNNNNNNNNNNNNNNNNNNNNNNNNNNNNNNNNNNNNNNNNNNNNNNNNNNNNNNNNNNNNNNNNNNNNNNNNNNNNNNNNNNNNNNNNNNNNNNNNNNNNNNNNNNNNNNNNNNNNNNNNNNNNNNNNNNNNNNNNNNNNNNNNNNNNNNNNNNNNNNNNNNNNNNNNNNNNNNNNNNNNNNNNNNNNNNNNNNNNNNNNNNNNNNNNNNNNNNNNNNNNNNNNNNNNNNNNNNNNNNNNNNNNNNNNNNNNNNNNNNNNNNNNNNNNNNNNNNNNNNNNNNNNNNNNNNNNNNNNNNNNNNNNNNNNNNNNNNNNNNNNNNNNNNNNNNNNNNNNNNNNNNNNNNNNNNNNNNNNNNNNNNNNNNNNNNNNNNNNNNNNNNNNNNNNNNNNNNNNNNNNNNNNNNNNNNNNNNNNNNNNNNNNNNNNNNNNNNNNNNNNNNNNNNNNNNNNNNNNNNNNNNNNNNNNNNNNNNNNNNNNNNNNNNNNNNNNNNNNNNCGACCCCGCCGCCGGCGCCCGCGCUGCCGCCGGCCAUCGCCCCGCCGUCGCCUGGCCUGGCCUCCCCUCCACUCCGGCCGCCGCCGAUCGACUCCGGCGAGCCGGCGCCCGAUCCAGAACGAGCCCGCGUUGACUUCGUUCCCCCCCUCGAGGUCGUUAUUUUUCUAAGUCCCCAGUUCUUAUUAAUAUGUGCACAUGUUCAACUGUGUGUAACUUCAUGCAUGUAGCUCCGAUUCGCGCGUAUAAUAUGUCGAAUUGUUCGUCCCGUGAUGCUCUACAUUUUGUUCAAUUGCACCAUGUUCAUUAGAGGUCAUCUUGAUGCCUUAAUCAUCGUUGCAAGAGGGCUAGUUGCUGUUAUCUGCUGAUUCUUAUCAGAACUUGGAGAUUUGUCAUUUUUGUAUCAUUUAAUCUGUGCAUCUUUUGGGCAUGACCUCUACAUGUGUUUUGAAGUAUGCCAUGCCAUCUUUCCAGUGGUGUAGUCCAUGUAUUUGUGUGAUCUCUGUGGUGACUAGCACAAGCACGCAAAGUAGGCCCCGUAAUAUUUCUGAUUUCAGGGACUUAGUGAUUUCUCUAAGUCCUUGUCUGCUGUAAUUUUGUUGCCUUGUUAACUUGAUGCUACAGAGAGAUCCAUGCAUAUUUUGGAGAUGUUCAGUAAGGAUGUUUUGUAGAUAUUGUUAUAAUUGAUCCAUUACUGCCCUUGUUUGCAAUUAUGGUGUGCCAUAGCAUGUCUCAAUCUUGCUCUACUUUUGCUAUAAAAUAUUUCUGGCAGAUUCUUAACAUGAUAUGCAAUCUUGCCAAGCUUAUUGUAAUUGAUCCAUACAUGCUAUGAUUAUACUCUUGCCAUGGUUAGCUUCAUAAACAUGCCAUCUUGCUGUAGAUAUACUUAGGUUAUCAUUCAUUGCUCUGUAGUGAGUGCAUCAAGCUCACAAAGAGGCCUACAUAUUAUAGUUUCUGCCAUGCUCUGUUUUUUGCCAAGUCUGAAACCAGAUAACGAAACUUGCUAUGUUCACAUGCUUGCCAUCAUAUCUUCUGGUCCUUUUUCGCUUAUGGUCAGUAAGGGACUUUUGUUAUAUGCUUUGAGUAGAUUCAUGCCAUGCCUUUCUUUGCUAUGUUAAGUCCCUGUAGCAUGUUGAUUUCGUGCUCUGAACAUUGCUACCUGAUGCUGUUUCUGUCAUGUCCAGUAAUUCUGCCAAGUCUGUGAACCUGUUAUUAUUUGCAAUCUUGCCAUGUCCUUUUGAGCAUUUUCUAUUGAUUUCUGGAGAUAGCUCAGUGUUCAUGUUUUGUUGUGCUUUACCUGUACAUCAUGUCCUUGUCUUUUGUUUUCAUGUUGAGUUGCUGUAGCAUAUUGUUUUGAUGCUUGCCAUAUGCCUAGUUGCUGUUUUGGACAGAUUGUUGCUAUGUCUUGUUUGGAGUGUAUGUGUUGCACCGUUGCUCCGUUUUGAGCAUGCUCUAUAUGAAACUUGCUUAGUUUUGCAUGUAGUCUCAUAUUAUCAUGUUGCAUCCUUGUGUUGAGGUGUGUGCUUGAUGUUUGUAUGCAUUUUGCACCAAUGCCAUGCUCAUCUUGUCUUGCUCAUAUCUUCUAGGCCGUAGCUCCGAAUCUAAUGAACUUUAUAUGUAACUUGACUAGAAUUUCGUGUAGAUCAUCAUGGUGCUCUUUAACUUGCUGUUUAACAACUUUAACUUAAUGCUUGUUCAGUUCUGGACCAAUUUUGAAAUUUGCAUAUGAGGACUUACCGGAAUUGUUAUGUGUUGUUUCCGGCCUCAUUUAAACUUGCCUUGAUGUGUUGCUCUUGUAUGCAUCCUUUCUUGCCGUGUGUAGCCUCAUAUUGCCUUGUCAUGCAUCAUUCUUGAUUGAGCAUCAUGCCUUGUUCAUGUGUGGUGUGUUUACCUUGUUGUGUGUUUCUUCUCGAUAGCUCCUGUGUCGUUGCGAUCGUGAGGAUUCGUUCGUCUUCGUGGCUUCAUCUUCUUCAUGGAUUCGUUCUUCUUCCUAGCGGGAUUUCAGGCAAGAUGACCGUCACCUUGGAUCUCAUUACUAUCAUUGCUAUGCUAGUUGCUUCGCUCUAUCGCUUUGUUGCGCUACCUAUUCACUUGUUCCUCAAGCCUCCCAUUUUGCCAUGAACCUCUAACCUUUGUCACCCUUCCUAGCAAACCAUUGUUUGGCUAUGUUACCGCUUUGCUCAGCCCCUCUUAUAGCGUUGCUAGCUGCAGGUGAAGAUGAAGAUUGCUCCAUGUUGGAUUAUGUUUAUGUUGGGAUAUCACAAUAUCUCUUAUAUUAUUAAUGCAUCUAUAUAUUUGGUAAAGGGUGGAAGGCUCGGCCUUAUGCCUGGUGUUUUGUUCCACUCUUGCUGCCCUAGUUUCCGUCAUACCGGUGUUAUGUUCCCGGAUUUUGCGUUCCUUACACGGUUGGGUGAUUUAUGGGACCCCCUUGACAGUUCGCCUUGAAUAAAACUCUUCCAGCAAGGCCCAACCUUGGUUUUACCAUUUGUCCAGCCUAUUUCUUUUCCCUAGGGAGUCGCUCUCUCGAGGGUCAUCUUAUUUUAACCCCCCCGGGCCAGUGCUUCUCUAAGUGUUGGUCGAACUGAGUAGACUGCGGGGCCACCUCGUGGAAACUCGAGGUCUGGUUUUACUCGUAGGAUGUCUCAUCCGAUGUUGCCCUGAGAACGAGAUAUGUGCAGCUCCUAUCGGGAUGUCGGCGCAUCGGGCGGCUUUGCUGGUUUUGUUUUACCAUUGUUGAAAUGUCUUGUAACCGGGAUUCCGAGACUGAUCGGGUCUUCCCGGGAGAAGGAAUAUCCUUCGUUGACCGUGAGAGCUUAUCAUGGGCUAAGUUGGGACACCCCUGCAGGGUAUUAUCUUUCGAAAGCCGUGCCCGCGGUUAUGUGGCAGAUGGGAAUUUGAUAAUAUCCGGUUGUAGAGAACCUGACACUUGACCUUAAUUAAAACGCAUCAACCGCGUGUGUAGCCGUGAUGGUCUCUUCUCGGCGGAGUCCGGGAAGUGAACACGGUUUCUGGGUUAUGUUUGACGUAAGUAGGAGUUCAGGAUCACCUCUUGAUCAUUGCUAGUUUCACGACCGUUCCUUUGCUUUCUCUUCUCGCUCUUAUUUGCGUAAGAUAGCCACCAUACAUUGCUUAGUCGCUGCUGCAACCUCACCACCUUAUCCUUUCCUUUCCCUUUAAGCUUUGCUAGUCUUGAUACCCAUAAUAAUGGGAUUGCUGAGUCCUCGUGGCUCACAGUUUACUACACCACCAGUUGCAGGUACAGGUUGUGCGAUGAUCAUGACGCGAGAGCGAUGUGUACUUGUUUUGGAGUUCUUCUUCUGCUUCUUCUUCGCUCAGGGGAUAGGUUCCAGGUCGGCAGCCUGGGCUAGCAGGGUGGAUGUCGUUUGAGUCUCUGUUUAUGUUUCAUCCGUAGUCGGAUGUUGAGCUUAUGUAUGAUGUAUUGAUGUAUCCUUGCGGCAUUUGUAUGCCUUGUAUGUAUCCCCAUAUAUUUUGUAAUGUCGAUGUAAUGAUAUCCACCUUGCAAAAGCGUUUCAAUAUGCGGGUCUAUCCUUGGUGGGACCUUCGAGUUCCUGUAGGAUAGGGUCGCAUAUUGGGCGUGACAGCUUCACACUUGGUUACUAGUGCCGUCGCAUCCUGGAGGGCGGUGGGCCAGAAAAAACCUUGUCGGAACGCCUUCCCGGCAAGGGCCCUUGACCCUAUGUGGGAGCCACAUAUGCCUCCAUGUAUCUCCGCCAACAGCUCCAGUCCUUCUAACUGGGGGAUGCACUUCAAUUUCAUGCCAUUCGGCCUUCUCCUGUACAGGACAUCAUCGACGAACUGGUACAGGGCGGACCGACGGGCUACUUUCUCCGCUUCUUCCUGCUCCUCAGGAAGCUCCCCUGUUUGGAGGAAUCGAACGGUAUGCUGCGCCCAUGCCGGAGCCCGGGCUCGACGACAAGGACCAAAGGCAUUUCUUCCGCCAUGGGAGCGGCUGUCUCUACGGCUAGGGCUUGACGCCCUGCCGGAGGUAGCUACUCUUGGGCAGGCUCGGCGUCCGUGGCGGCACCCUUGCCGGCAGCCCCAGAGGGUUCGGUAGGAAAGUACUUGCCGGGACCCGACUUCCUUCGCUUGUUCUGCCCCGUUGAUGGUUUGACGGAUGGUUGAGUUAGCUGGAGCAAAAAGGUACCUGGUUCCACAGGUAGCUUGAAUGCGGCACACUUUGACAGGUAAUCGGCGGUGUCGUUCUCCAUUCGGGGGACGUGCUCCGCUAGGAUACCGUCAAAGCGCUCCUCCAGCUUCCUCACUUCAUCUACGUAGGCUUCCAUCAAUGGGCUUUGGUAAUCCUUAUUGACCUGCCUGACAACAAGCUGCGAGUCACCCCUGACGAUGAGCUUCUUAACCCCGAGGUCUGCCGCGAUCCUGAGACCGGCAAGCAAUCCCUCGUACUCAGCAGUGUUGUUGGUGGACAUCUCUCGGGGAAAGUGCAUCUGGAUCACGUACUUGAGGUGCUCCCCGGUAGGUGCGACGAGUAGCACACCGGCAUCGGCGCCUUGCAGCGAGAAAGCCCCAUCAAAGUACAUGAUCCAGUCGCGAUCUUCCUCCUUGCCGGGGAGUGUGGUCUCCUGGAUUUCUUCGUCAGGUGUUGAGGUCCAUUCUGCAAUGAACUCCGCCAAGACUCUGCUCUGAAUUGUCGAGGUACUUUCAAACUUCAAACCGAAACUUGACAACUCUAAGGCCCACUCCACAAUCCUCCCGGUUGCAUCCGGGUUAUGCAGUAUCCGUUGCAAAGGGAGGCGGGUGACGACAGUGAUCUCGUGGGCUUGGAAGUAAUGACGCAGCUUCCUCGAGGCCAUAAGAAGGCCGAAGAGCAAUUUCUGCACACCGGAGUACCUCGAUCUAGCCCCCUGCAAGAGGGAGCUGACAAAGUAAACCGGGUGCUGCAUCAUCUUCUUCUUCUGCACCACCCCACUUGACUGCGCGGGCACUGCCUCGGUGGCAUCAGACUCUGCCGGGGGCCUCGCCUUGCCGGCACCAGGCCCUGCCGGGGGAAUCUUGGGCUUGCCAUCCGCUGGUUCUGCCGCCGUCACUGCCUCCUCGUUGACCUCCCUCUGUGCCACUAGCGCGGUGCUGACCACUUGAUUUGUCGCCGCCAGAUACAGCAGCAACGGCUCUUGUGGUUUAGGCGCAACCAGUAUUGGCGUGGAGGAAAGGUAUUUCUUCAGAUCCUGCAAUGCUUCCUCGGCUUCUGGGGUCCAUUCCAUUGGGCCUGCCUUCUUCAAGAUUUUGAAGAAAGGAAGGGCGCGCUCGGCGGACUUGGAGAUGAAUCGGCUCAUGGCGGCAACGUAGCCGGUGAGCCGACGCACAUCCUUGAUCCGCUUGGGCGCCUCAAUCUGCUCAAUAGCCUUGAUUUUGUCUGGGUUUGCCUCGAUUCCGCGCUGCGAUACAAAGAACCCGAGAAGCUUGCCGGAUGGAACGCUGAAGACACACUUCUCAGGGUUCAGCUUGAGGUUGAUCUUGCGCAGGUUGGCAAAUGUCUCUUCCAGAUCUUCCACAAGAGUUGGCCCGUCCUUGGUUUUGACUACUAUGUCAUCCAUGUAGGCCUCCAUAUUUCUAUGGAGCUGAGGUUCAAAACCAAUUUGGACUGCUCUUGCAAAUGUUGAGCCAGCGCUCUUCAACCGAAAGGCAUCCGUAAAAAGCAAUACGUACCACAUGGGGUGAUGAACGCUGUCUUUUCUUCAUCCUCUCUUGUCAUGAAGAUAUGGUGGUAGCCCGAGUAGGCGUCGAGGAAUGACAACAGAUCACACCCGGCCGUGGAGUCAACAAUCUGGUCGAUGCGCGGCAACGGGAAGGGGUCCUUAGGACAAGCCUUAUUGAUAUCUGUGUAAUCAAUACACAACCUCCACUUCCCAUUCGCCUUGCGCACCACUACCGGAUUGGCCAACCACAUCGGGUGGAGCACUCCCCUCACCAAACCUGCCGCUUCCAACUUCCUGAUCUCCUCCGUGAUGAACUCCUGCCUCUCCAGAGCCUGCUUUCUGACCUUCUGCUGGAUGGGCCGCGCAUGGGGGCUGACAACUAGGUGGUGCUCAAUCACCUCCCUGGGAACAACGGGGAUGUCGGAUGCUUUCCAUGCAAACACGUCGACAUUCGACCGCAGGAAGGUGACGAGCGCGCCUUCCUAUUUGCUACCGAGGGUGGAGCCUAUGGUGAAGGCCCCUCCCGUGCCAUCCUCCCUGGUGGACACCUUCUUGGUUUGCGGCGGCUCGGCUCUAGAUCUCUUGCUCUUGUCGGUAGAGCUCUCUGGCACGGCCUCGACGGCAGCACAACACUCCGAAGAGGUGCGCUUGCCGGAGUGGGUGCGAGAGGUCUUGCCGGGCUUCUUCCUCCCUCCCGGGGCUUCAGCGGCAGGAGCAGGUGCCUUGGCGGCAGCUGCUGCAACUGCCUCCCGGUAGAGUUGGUCGGCGCAAAUCAGCGCGUCCUUCUUGUCGGAGGGGACGGAGAUGAUGGUCAACGGCCCGAGCAUCUUUAGCAUGUUGUAGGCGUAGUGUGACGCCGCCAUAAACUUGGCUAGUGCCGGGCGGCCGAGGAUCCCGCUGUAGGGCAAGGGGAUCUCGGCCACGUCGAAGACGAUCCUCUCCGUCCUGUAGUUCAACUCUCCUCCAAAUGUCACGGGCAGUGUGACCUUUCCCUUCGGCUGGCUCCUCCCCGGAUUGACCCCUUGAAACGUGCCCGUUUCCUCGAGGUCUCCAUCAGGGAUUUGCAACCUUUUGAUCACGACAGGCGAGAUCAGGUUUAGGCCGGCCCCGCCGUCAACCAACAUCUUGUUCACCCUGAAGUUGCGUAUUGUUGGUGAGACCAACAAUGGCAAACACCCGACCGCGGUAGUGCGGUCAGGGUGGUCUUCGGCGUCAAAGAUGAGGGGCGUGCUGGACCACUUCAGCGGCUUCUGAGCGUCGAACGACGGCUCUUCUGCUGUAAUCUCACGCGCCCACUGCUUGAGCUAGCGGUGAGAGGUAUGCAGCGAGGCGCCGCCAUCGACGCACAUGGCCUCCGUAGCCUUCUGGAACCCUUGCUCACCAGACUCGUCGUCCUUGUCGUGAUCAUCGUCUUCUUGUUUCUUGUCGCGGCCCCGGGCGGGCCUCUCUUGCUGGUUGUCCUUGCCGGGGUAGCCUCCUUGGCCGCCACGCUUCUUGCCGGAUCCCUCAGCACCGUCCUGGUCCUUCUCCUUGUCCCGCCUCUCGUACUCAGCCUUUUGCUUCUUAGGAAGCAGCUCGACUUGUCGGCAGUUCUGGAGGUCGUGGCCCUUGGUGCGGUGGAUCUUGCAGUAUUGCUUGCCGGAGCUCCCUGGCUUGUCGGUAGCUGCCAAGGCCCGGCAGGCGGCGCACCAGGCAAUCUCCUUGUCGGGAGCGCCUGCCUUGACCUUCUUGCCGGCACCGGUGUCGCCAGAUCCCUCAACGGCAAGCACGGCCUUACCCUUGCGUUUCCUGUUGUGACGCCGGCCCUUCUUCGUCGGGGUAGCGGCGUCCUCAUCGGUAGAGUCGGUUUCCGCGCCGGCGUCUUCGCCGGGGUACUUCCUUCCCUCUUCAGCCCGGGCGCAUCUAUCGGCCAGAACGUAGAGCUCGGCCACAUCCUUAAUCUUGGUCAUCGCCAGCUCCUCGCGCAUCUUGCGAUUGCGCACGUUCUGGUGGAAUGCGCUAAUCACAGCGGCAGGAUGAACGUCGGGGAUGUUGUACUGCACCCGGCUGAAUCUCUGGAUGUACUUGCGCAGGGUCUCCCCUUCCUUCUGGGGAAUGAUAUGCAGAUCACUGGCCUGGCCAUGAGCUUGGUGGCCUCCUGUGAAGGCGCCAACGAACUCAUGGCAUAGAUCCGACCAAGAAGAAAUGGAAUCCACCGGCAAGUGCAUCAACCAAGACAUCACAUUGGGCUUGAGCGCCAGCGGGAAAUAGUUGGCAAGCACCUUGUCGUUGCGAGCCCCAGCCUGCAUCGCGAUGGUGUAGAUGCUGAGGAACUCAGACGGAUGGGUCUUGCCAGUGUACUUCUCGCCGACGUCGGGCUUGAACGUGCGGUGGGACGACCACUGGAACUGCUGCAGCUCACGGGUAAAGGCCGGGCAGCCCACCUCGUAAGGUAGGCCGCCGGAGCCCCCCGGUGCCGGGUGGUCCAUAGCGGGUCCCGCCCGCUUGUCCGACUGGCGGCGCGUUUCGCGCCGGCGCUCGACGGUGGUUCGAGCGUCUUUGUGAGCUCGUUCCCGAAGGACCUGGCGCUGGUCGCGGAGGGUCCGCGGGUCGGAUGACACUAUGGAGAUGUUAUCACAAGCGUCGUCACGACGGGCUGAUGCCCGCGGCGGCUGGCGAGGAGGAGGAGAGUGCACCGUGGGCGCAACUCCCCCGGUCCUCCCAGCGCCAGCAUGCGGUGGCUCGGUGGAGCGCCGACCCGAGGGUCCCGCCGGUCGUGGAUUGUCUUUAUUGGCGACGGCGAUGAGGCUUCGGGUGGUGGCCCUCCACUCGUCAAGCUUCUCCGCAGCAGGAGGGAAGUCGAGGAGUAGCUGUGCGCGCGCCAAAGCUUCUGCCGGCGUGGGCGGCGGCGACAGCUACGUGGAUCGCGGCGCGCUUCGACUUCUAACUACGUUAGAAGGAGCUCCGUUACAACCCAGCGGCUACGUGCCAUUUUCGCCAGCGCUUCGGCGGGCGUGCUGAACCCCUUCAUCCUGCGGACGACGCACUGGGCUCUUCCCACGGUGGUGCCCAGGGUCACCAACGCGGUGACGCUGCUCGACACGCACACCAUGGAAGAGCGCACAGUGGUCGCCGGUGUGGGCGUCCUGGAGGUCGCUGCGCCGCCCGGAGGUGGCACAACGACACCCCUGGAGGGCCCGCGCCGCCUACGGGGGGCCCAGCUCCGUCUUUGGAUCCGGCGACGUGUAGCCGGUCGUCUGGUGCGCGAACGACGUCGCUCGCCAGGCUCUGACUACCAGGGCGUUGCUGGUGCUCGCGGACCGCGACCCGGGUCCUGUCUGUGACCGGUCCACUGCCCGCCCGCACCGGCACGGGCCGUUCGGCUCCCAACGAGCCGACCGCCGUGGCUGUCUUCUUCUUAGGAGCCAUGGCGACGAAGAACUACUAGGCUAACUACUAGACCAGAUUCUCACAAUUGCGCCCCCUACCUGGCGCGCCAAAGAUGUCGGUGUGGAACGACACCUACGGGAUCACAAGAAUCCCUACUACGGUUGCCGGGGUGCGGGGUUGCAAGAAGAGCAGGGCUAGUAGACAACACAAAGAUCGUUUACCCAGGUUCGGGCCGCGAGGAUGGGUAAAACCCUAGUCCUGCUUUGGUGGGUGUAUUUUCAGAGAGUUCUUGAGCUCUCGAACAAGCUGUGGUCAGUGCGUGGUUCAAAAGAGCCGAAUCCUUCUCCAGUAUGCCAUGGGCCUCCUUUUAUAGUCGAAAGGGGUUGCCACAGUGGCACACAGGAGGUGGAAAGGCGUACAGUGCCCUGAGCUUAUCGCUCGUAUUACAGGACAAGAUGCAUUUAAUGCGUAGCUUAGGUGUCCCCUUGCUUUAUUGGGGAUGGGGGCGAGGCCCGUCCCGUCCGUCGCCGCUCCUCCUCGCUUUGACACGCGCCCUGGCCAGUGAGGCGCGUGGUGCCAUGUAAGCAGGCAGGCAGGCAGCAGAGGUGGCGCAGUGGCGGAGCCUUCACGAAGAUAUGCAUGCCGCCACGUAGGCGCUUGAUGAGUUGGCCUAGGAGCUGCAUGUUGCCACGCAGGUGCCCGCCCAGCUGGUUGGGCUGGCAGCUGCAUGUGAACAGCGGUGGAAGCUUGGUUGGCGUGGGCCUAGCGGUGGCCCUGCUGGCGUCCGUGGUGAGGGCCUUGCCGGGUGGCCCGGCAAGGGUCUUGCUGUGGCGCGCUGUCAUCCCCGGCGAGGGCCUUGCCGGGGGUCUGGUGACCUUCCUCGGCAGGGAUCUUGCCGAGGAUCGUCGUCUUCUAAUCCUCAUCUGAUUUUGAAUAUGUCUUCACAAAGAUCUGCAUGCCACCACGGAGGUGCCUCCCGAGCCCUGGCCCAACGUGAUGUUGGAGACCAUGGGCUCAAGGGUGGCCCGCUCUGUUGGUGCGAGGCGAGCUGUCCCGGCAAGGAUCUUGCCGGGGCUGCUGAGGCUGCCCCAGCAAGGGUCUUGCCGGGGAACAUGCUUCGUCCCUCUGCUUUUUGUGGUCUUGGCCUUGGCGUUGCUCUUAUUAUCUUGGACUUUGGUCUUACCUUGGCUCACCUCCCCUGUUCUGCUUGGCGUGACCGUAGGCGCGUCUCCGACUGCCCGUGCACAUGUAUAGGGGUACAAAAACGCACCCUUUUUUUUGUACACCGACAUAUAUCUAUCCAUUCUUGCUACGACUUGUUGAAUAUUCGAAUGAUAAUCAUAAAAGAGAAUGUUGACUAGUGAAUUGUUUAUUUUGCAGAAAAGUGCGCAAAGGCACUAUAAUCGUCAAGAUUUCUACUAUGUGGCUAACGAGAAGAGACAAGGGUAUGAAAGAAAUACGUCAAGGCCUGAGCGUGAAGGAAAGAAGUAAUGUAGGGGAGCAAACUAAAAGAAGAGGAGGAUCUUCUUGGGCAUAAAUGAAGAGAAGAGGAGGGCCAAUGUGCAAAUGUGGCAGAUCAGAGAGGGGAAUGAAAUCCCUAGCGGCACCUCAUUGCAAAUCGGGCCUGGCCACAUCUCCAUCUCUCUCCCCCUCACCACUUCUUCCACCACCGGCCGCCGCCGCGGCCAGGCCGGCGUGGCGGCGCGCCACCAACACCACCGCGCCAUAGCACCACCCAUAAUCUCCAUCCAUCUGCGCCUCCCGGCCACCCAUCAUUCCCUCCAUCCACAGCGCCGCCAGAACCCAUCCAUCAUCACCUCCAGCCGGCGCCGCCGCCUCGCCUACAGCCAUCUCCCUGCUGUCCGCUGCUCUCCUCUUCUUUCCAACCUUCUUCUCCUCACCAUGCUGCUGCUCCUCCCUCUCAAUCUCUACUGCUGCUCUUCCUUGCCCCCCCACCCCCCCGUGCUGCUGCCUCUCCUUCCCUUCGUUGCUUGCUGCUUCUCCUUUGAUCCCUUUGCUACUGCUCCUCUUCUUCGUGCCCAACCUCCGCUGCUGCUCCUCUUUCCUGCUGCUACUCCCUCUCACCACGCCUCUGCUGCUCUCUUUCCCCUCCUGCUGCUGCUCUCCUCACCAUGCUGCUUCUCCUCUUGCUGCUGCUGCCCGCCCCCGACCUCCUCCUGCUAUCUCUCUCUACUUCCCCUGCUACCUUUCUUCUCUGAACCUACCUACUGCUUCUCUCUCUCUCUGAAAUUGCUGUAGUACUAAGAUUUGUAAGACAGUGUACUACAACCUGUUAAUUGUUCAGUUCAGAUUUUUGCUUGUUUAGUAUUAUUCUGUUGAUCUGUGCUAAUCUUGUGGCUAGUAUAAUUUCGUUUCUGUUGUUACUUGUGUAACCUGAACCGUGGUUAGUAUCCUAUUUGCAUAUGUGUGUUUUGUAGUCCCUGUAUUAGUUACGUACCUGUGAUAUAUAAAUGUGUGUGUGCGUGUGUGUGUGUAAUUCAUCAAAAUAUAUUGUUGUGUGAUGAUGAUAUAUGUUCAGUCUAGAGACACGUUAUUUUUCUUGCUUUGUAGAUCGAUGUGAACUAGUACCCUUGUGUGUUUCUGUUGUCACUAGUUAAAUUGAUCACCUAUGUACUACUUGUUGUAGAAACUUGUUACAUUAGUCCUUGUGCUAGCUAUGCACCUGUGAUAAAUAUGUGUGUGAUGUGAAACAUUUCUGUUCUGUCCUAUAAUAUUGUUUCCUCCCUCUUUUGCUUGUCAUUAUGCUAUAUGUGUUCAUGUCCUAAUGUUUCCCUUUAUGUUAGUUUCUAAUUUCUCAUGCCUAAUAAAAAUACCAAAAGACAGCAAGUAAGAUCUGAUCCUCCCUUUGCUAUUUUGCCUUUUCUUUGUGGAUCAUCUUUGGGAGCAACCUUGUUUAGUUUAGGUUUAUUUUCUUGCAGCCAUAAUCUCAAUUGUGUUACCUAGAUUUAGCUGAGCAUAGUCGCCGUCGCCUAGUCCCUGCGGGGAACACGACACUCGCGAUUUGGGCGAAAUAUCCCACCACAUUUACAAACGAUCAGCGAGGCUCAUCGUCGUCCUUGCUAGGCGGCCCUUUCCCCUUGUGCUCGGUGUUUAGCUUACCGACCUGUUUGAAGACCCAACAAUUUUUGCUGGUAUGAUUGGCAGGCUUGUCAGGGGUGCCAUGGAUCUGGCAAGGCCGAUCGAGUAUUCUGUCCAAACUGGAUGAACCAUCUUUGUUUCCUUUGAAUGGCUUCUUUCGUUGACCGGGUUUAGAGCCACUGAAUCCAGCGUUGACCGCCGUAUCUUCGGUAUCUUCAUU
rnacentral:lncRNA from 1 species